CAUUUAAAGAGUGCGUAAUAGCUCACUGGUCGAGAGACGCUGCGCCGAAAAUGUCCGGGGCUCAAGCACGGAACCGAAGCUAUGGCAUGAUAGCAAUAUCAUGGGUAGGGGAGCGUUCUUAUAAGGAAGAAGCAUGACCGGAAGGACAUGUGGACAAAUAAGAAGUGAGAAUGCCGGUAUGAGUAUCGAAAAGAAAGGUGAGAAUCCUUUCCACCGAAAGCCCGAGGGUUCCUGAGCAACGAUCGUCGACUCAGGGUAAGUCGGGACCUAAGCCGAGGCGAGAAGCGUAGGCGAUGGACAACAGGUUGAAAUUCCUGUACCGGAUCAAGUCGAUCGAGCGAAGGAGCGACGCAGGAGGGCACAUGAUCGCGCGGCUGGAAGAGCGCGUCCAAGUGCGUAUGUUGCAGCAGAGGAAAACCCCUGCAGCUAAAAGCAGAGACAUGAUGGGGAGUUAAAGGAAACUUUGACGAACUCAUGGAUCCCACACUGCCAAGAAAAACUUCUAGCGAGACAAGAUCCGCCCGUACCGUAAACCGACACAGGUAGGCGGGGAGAGAAUCCUAAGGUGCGCGGGAAAACCCUCGUUAAGGAACUCGGCAAAUUGCAUCCGUAACCUAGGGAGAAGGAUGGCCCCCGGUCAGUGAAGAGCAGAAACGCUCAGAGCUAAAAGGGGCGGCAGAAAAGAGGCCCAAGCAACUGUUUACCAAAAACACAGGUGCCUGCGAAAGCGAAAGCUGAAGUAUAGGUGCUGACGCCUGCCCGGUGCCGGAAGGUUAAGGAGAGGUGUGAGCGAAAGCGAAGCAUCGAACUGAAGCCCCGGUGAACGGCGGCCGUAACUAUAACGGUCCUAAGGUAGCGAAAUUCCUUGUCGGGUAAGUUCCGACCCGCAUGAAAGGCGUAAUGAUUUGGGCACUGUCUCAACGAGGGGCCCGGUGAAAUUGAAAUACCUGUGAAGAUGCAGGUUACCCGCGACUGGACAGAAAGACCCCAUGGAGCUUCACUGCAGCUUGAGAUUGAAUCCCGGUGACAGAUGCACAGGAUAGGUGGGAGGCGUCGAAGCAUUGCCCUAGGGCGGUGCGGAGCCGAUGUUGGGAUACCACCCUUCUGUUGCUGAGAUUCUAACGCGAGGAGUAACGACCCUGCGGACCCUCUCAGGCAGGCGGUUUGACUGGGGCGGUCGCCUCCGAAAGAGUAACGGAGGCGCCCAAAGGUUCCCUCAGGCCGGACAGAAACCGGCCGAAGAGUGCAAAGGCAGAAGGGAGCUUGACUGCGAGACCAACAAGUCGAGCAGGGACGAAAGUCGGGCUUAGUGAUCCGGUGGUACUGGGUGGAAAGGCCAUCGCUCAACGGAUAAAAGCUACCCUGGGGAUAACAGGCUAAUCUCUCCCAAGAGUUCAUAUCGACGGGGAGGUUUGGCACCUCGAUGUCGGCUCAUCACAUCCUGGGGCUG
rnacentral:rRNA from 1 species